rnacentral:rRNA from 1 species
UACGGGGGGGGUAAGCGUUGUUCGGAAUUACUGGGCGUAAAGGGACGUCGUAGGCGGCCAACUUAAAGUCGGACGUGAAAUCCCUCAGCUUUAACUGGGGAACUGCGUCCGAUACUGGAUGGCUUGGAUUUGGGAGAGGGAUGCGGAAUUCCAGGUGUAGCGGAUGAAAUGCGUAGAAUAUCUGGAGGAACCACCGGUGGCGAAGGCGGCA